CUUUCACAAAUUCAAAAACAUCCCACCACCCCAUACAUACAUCCCUCUCCUUCACUUCCUGUGGUAACUCCAAAUCUUAAAACUUCAAGUGUAGAGUUUAACUCCAAGUGAUUUCUCGUGCUUCAAGCUUUGGGUUUUAAUAGUUCUUAUCUUAUUCCUUCUCCUUGCUUGCUUCUUGGCACGAGUAGGUCGGUGCACAUAGACACGGACUUUGUCAUUUCCUAUUUGCUAUUUGCUUGUCAUUUGUUGUAUUUGGAGCUUACGCUUGCUGACCAGGUUGCAUUUUUCAAAACUACGGAAUGCUUGGAAUAGAAGAACCCACGGGAUUUCGAGUACUUAGCGGGCGUUCAUUGUUUAGAAGUCUUAGCUUUUUGCUUCCGCUGUGCAAUGAAGAUACCGGUCCAGUCACG